rnacentral:snRNA from 1 species
UAGCUUGGGUUUCUCUUCAUUCACACACAAAUUGUUACUAAAGAUUUCCGUGGAGGGAAACGUUGAUGAGUUCUUCUUAUUUUUGAAGCCUCUGCUAUGGCGGAGCU